UAUAAUUACCUUAAUCUGAUAGGAAAAUUUUAGGGUAAAAUACAUUUAUACCUUCCAAGUUUGCUAAAAAAACACUUAGGUAUCAUUUGACUCGGUUUUUUUUCUGUCUUAAAACCUACUUUUAAGUUAAAGCUGAAAUUUUGAGUUUUAAGCUAAAAAUGCUAAAUGAGGUUAAGUGUUUUUGUAGAAAAUUUCGAGAAGGUAAUUAAAUGUAUUUUAUCCAAAAUUUUACUUUUGAAUUUGAAUAAUACAAAACUGAAAUGAACAAGAAUAAUUAUAUACAAUUAAAACACAAUUCCUAUAGUACUUAUCUAAAAGUGAGAGAUAUUCAUACCCUUAAAACUUAAUUUGUCAUGAUCCUUUUAGGGGUUGUCUAAAUGAUCUAUGAGAAAAUUUGAGUUAAAUAACAUAUCAUCCAAUCACAUUGAAGAUAAAUGAGUUGAAAUUUCUAUAUUUUACUUAUUAAUUUAUUUAUAACAAAUCUGAUUGGUUCUUUGAAUUGUGCGUUAAUAACUCACAUAGAUUAUUUAUACAAUUUUUUUUUAUAACAAACAUUUAUAAUUUGCAAUUUAGUUAUUUAUAUUUUAUAAAGAACUGAAAUGUUUCAAAACCUGCUAUUUGGAAUGCACCGUAUUAACACCCAUAAAAGAAGAUUCCAAAAUUAAAUUGUUUUUGUUACAAGAGGAAAAGAUUCCAUUAUUAAAUGAGAAACCUAAUGGUAAUAAUUAAUAUAUUCCAUAAUUGUAUUUUGCGUAAUGGUGUAAGACACAAUUUGUAAGACACGAUAAGGAGGAGUGUACACCAGGCACGGCACUUGCAUUGUAAAAGUUUGAUCGGUCACAAAAUUGGUUGUGCUUCGUUCGUGGAUGAUCUUGCCACCAAGAACUGCUCUCUUAGGGCCUGUUUGGUUUGAGAAAACAUUUUCUGUUUUCAUUUUCUAAUUCUAUUUUCUGAAAAUGAUUUUCAUUUUCAAUUUUUUGAUAUUUAAAAAACAUGUUUGGUUUAACUUCUUAUUUUUCAUUUUCUGAAAAUGAAAACAUAGGAAAUGUGUUUAGUUCAACUAUUUCCAAAAAAUUUAUAAAAUAUAUUUUAUAUAACAAAUAUAUAUUUUUACAUUAUUAGUGAAAAGCUUAUGAAAUGUUUUUAUAUAAGUUUCAAUAUAUAUAUAUAUAUAUAUAUGUUGAGAACCUAAGCAGAAACUGAAAAACUGAAUAGUCUUUGAGCCCUUGGUGAUUGUGCGUAACUCCGUUCGAGAAUUUGCUCCCAAAUCUUCCAGGACUGCUUGCAAUUCACCACAGUAGGAAGAACAGAGUCAGAAAGAGACGAAAGAAGCCAUGUAAACAACGCUGAAUCUUGCUGAAUCCAGUUCGUGUAAG
rnacentral:lncRNA from 1 species